GGGAUUACAUUACAAAUCUAAUACGUUGGGUUAGAACUUGUUUGCAGGAUAUUCCACCAUGCCCAACAAAGAGAAGCAGAACAAAUUUAAUAUCAAAUGAGAAAUUUUCUUGAAACUUACUGUUGCUCUAGUUAUGCCGGGAAAGCAAUAAUCAGCAUGAGGGACUAUGUAGAUAACUGCUGCAGCAAUAGAAAUGAGACUUCUCCUGCAAGUUUUAUAUAGAGGAGUAAAUAGAUUUGAUCCAUCCUGUUGGAAAGAGCUAUGUGACAAAAACAACGCCUCAAUCUCAAGCUAGUUGAGGUCGGCUUAUAUGAAUCUUUAUUAAGAAUGAGAUCUAGGAAUCAGUAUUCAGGUUAAAUAAUCACUCUGUAAAACCAGACUUCUAAAAUCUUUAUACAAGUUACACUAGGAAUUCCUUUACUUGAUACUUCAAGAUCCAAUGUCAUGCUUCAUGCAACAAUCUAUCGCAACAAGAAGUCUGUGAAUUAAUAUCUUAGCAACAAGGCAGUUAGCAACCAGUUGUUUCUCUCUUGACCCUUUAGAUGUCAACUCGGGAAAUUACAUGAUACAAUGUGACAAAGAUCUAUCUAAUAGGGAAGGAAAGAAAACCAAGCGAAAAGGAAGAGAAAAUAGAAAAAAAAAAAGAAAACGAGUUGUAGUCUAAGAAAGGGAGCCAUCCAAGUUAUUCAUGCAUCGACUUAAACCAUUCCCCUUGCUGGAAAGUUCAGCAUUACCAUUCGUGCUCAUCCAUCAGCUACAAUCCAAAUGCUAGUCACCCUCCACCUCCAACUUUGCAACUGUUGCCUUCUCCAUCCCGAACUACCUAUUUGUCACACCUCACCCCUACACAUACUUUUUUUCCCCUUCAGCCUGCAGAGUAUCAAUCCCUUCCAGCUCACAUCUUCCCCAGCACUUCACCGAUCUCUUCUCAAUUUCAAACCAGCAUCUCAUUAGCACCUCCCUCCUUUUGUCUUCUUCCACCCUACCUUCCAAAAUAAGUAGGUUCAUUUCCAAACAAUCUAACAAAAACUUACUGAUAUUUUCCCCAGAAAUUUAGUCUUCCCAAAAAUGCAAUCAUCCUACAGGCAAGCUAACCACACAAGGUAUUAGAUAAAAUGAAGAUUAUGUUCAUCUUCUGAACAUGACAUGAGCUGAAAGAAUAAUUCAUAUAACUUGAUUGCUGCUGCUAAGGGUUAGGAUUCUGCUAUAUAGUUAUACUGUCUGUUGAUACGGAAAACUAAAACACAACUGUUGUCAUGUAUUUGCCUGUUUAUGGUUUUGUCUUCUCCUGUAAUAUAGCUAGUUUUAGCAUGUAGGCAACAAAAACUGAAAACCGCUAAUGAGUACAUAGUCAUACAAUCAAAGACUUUCCUCAUCGCCUACAGUUGAAAAUAUGAUCGGUACUAUUUGGAACAAAUGAGAUCAAUUUUAGUCAAACGUACAUUAAUCUGAGAUAAGCAUCUGCAGAUCAACAUAAAUACAAGAAAAACUACCUUAUGUCAAACUCUUCUGAUUUUUUUACUGCUUUUUGAGCGGCUUUAACUGUCUGAUUUGUCAUCCCAAGAUUUGAACAACAGCAAAGCAUGAUCAGUAACCAAGUUUUGGGAAACAAUAAAAGGUAUGAAGAAAAUUCAGUUUAGAAAAAUAGCAGUAAUCACCAUGAAAUCUCCGGCAUGUAAAGUUCCCAUUUCCACAGAUUGAAUACAACUAUUGAACAAUUCAAUACAACUAUUGAACUCGAAAUUACGCCAUUUUAGCUAUAUUUAAUCAAACCCCACACUAUAUCUUUCUCCAACAAUCCCAAAAAGCAAAACUAUCAGCUCAACCAAGAAUGCAAGCAACCACAAAAUACGCAAAAACCACAAGAAUUGAACUCGAAGUUACGCCAUUUUAGCUACAUUUAAUCAAACCCCACACUAUAUCUUUCUCCAAUAAUCUCAAAAAACAACACUAUCAGCUCAAUCAAGAAAGCCAACAACCACGAAAUACACAAAAACCAACAAUUGAACUCGAAGUUAUGCCAUUUUAGCUAUAUUUAAUCAAACCCCAUACAAUAUUUGUCCAAUAAUCCCAAAAAACAACACUAUCAGCAAUUUAAUCAAUUAAUCAAUAAUGGUAGCAAACACAAAAAGAACAACACUUGAACUCAAAAUUGAGCCAUUUUAGCAACAUUUAAUCAAACCCCAUGAAUUAUCUUCCAACAAAAUCCCAAAAAUGACACUAUUAGCUCAAACACGAGUGGUAGCAACCAUUGAAAAAAGUAAGAGGUUCUAAAAAUUUGAACAAUAAACUGCAAAUAGCUGAGCAUUGCUACAGAACAUUGAAAAUAUUGUUGCUAUCACAGUGUGCUAUCAGAAAAUAAAAUCAGAAUACACAUGCAAGAUGGAACCACUUACAAGAUGAGAUAAUUUGAACAUGAAAUCAGUAGCAAUUUGUGCUAACCCGUUUGG
rnacentral:lncRNA from 1 species